rnacentral:rRNA from 1 species
UACGUAGGGUGCAAGCGUUGUCCGGAAUUAUUGGGCGUAAAGAGCUCGUAGGCGGUUUGUCGCGUCUGCUGUGAAAAUCCAGGGCUUAACCCUGGACCUGCAGUGGGUACGGGCAGACUGGAGUGCGGUAGUGGAGAUCGGAAUUCCUGGUGUAGCGGUGAAAUGCGCAGAUAUCAGGAGGAACACCGGUGGCGAAGGCGGAUCUCUGGGCCGUAACUGACGCUGAGGAGCGAAAGCAUGGGGAGCGAACAGG